ACGUUUCAAUCUUGCAUCUAAGGGUUUCAGCCAAAUCGUCUCUCUCUAAGAAACCUAAUCGACCUCAUCUUCAACGUUACUUCACUUCAUCUUCCUUCCCGUAACUGUGAAUCAUCAAUCAUCAUGAUGAGAGUAUACGAAUCGCUAAGGUAAUCAAUUGUAUUGAAUUGCACCAGCAAUCGUUCUCUUCUCCUCUCUAACAAAAGCAUCCCCAUCAUGAAGAUAACUCACGGUGUUCAGAUCUAGGGUUCCGGCUCUUCCCUGUCUUCUCCGAACUCAGGUUUCUUAAAGCACCUCCAACUCUCAUCAGCUUUCAGAAAUUUCAAGAGAUUUGGUGAAUCGGUGAUGCUUUUCCUCUUCGGGUCUCGAAUUGCAACCCUGUAAAGACAAAUUACAGGAGAACAAUGGUACUGAGGAUAUUAAUAACUGAUGAAGUGAUAUCUUGUGUGGGGAUUCAAUGAGAUUGCUGGACAUAAGGACCUUCUAGAGGGUGAUUCUUACUUAAAACAAAGAAUUAGAUUGCGAGAUUCGUCUAGCACAACCUUAAAUAUAUUUUAAGCUUAUACCCUAAAGCGAAUGUGUGACCCAAACCAUCAAGGGAGGUAGCAUGACUCUUUGGGAGCUUUAGUGUAUCAGACUUGAAGGUGUUGUGAAAAAGUGCAGUUUCUUAUGCUCUCAACCACCAACUGAGCCUUGAUGAUUUAACUUAAAUAAUUGAUGAGGAAAAUAUAAAAGUCACAAUGGAAGCUUUCUUGAAUGCUCUUCAUGAAGUUAUUCCUGCUUUUGGUGCUUCAACAGACGAACUUGAACGUUGCAGUGGUAAGACUGCAAUGGCAGCAACUGUUGGUAUUGGUAGCGAUUUCUCCUAUGUGAAGAUUGUAAGUUCUUCUAUAUUUUAACUAUGGGACAAUUCCAUGAUACCCUUCAAUACUUAUCAUAUACCUGUCUAACAAAAAGUUAUAAUAUCAAAUAUACUCAUUUUCGAAUUUGUGACAUUUAUGAUACUUGUGGCUGUGCUCGUUGAUGGAUGGAUGGACAUCAUCAUACUGGUUCUAAAAUUGGCAAGGUCGGAAACAGAAAUAAAUCAAGAGGAACCCUCAUGUUUAUUGUUUUGGUAUCAUAAUUUACUGAUCAUUUCUCUUUUUUUAUUUUACUUUACAAACAUUCAGUUGGUUUUUGACUUGUCAUUUUGUCGUGUGUAAAACGAUCCACGUCACAAGUA